CCUACGGGUGGCAGCAGUGGGGAAUAUUGCACAAUGGGGGAAACCCUGAUGCAGCGACGCCGCGUGAGUGAAGAAGUAUUUCGGUAUGUAAAGCUCUAUCAGCAGGGAAGAAAAUGACGGUACCUGAUUAAGAAGCCCCGGCUAACUACGUGCCAGCAGCCGCGGUAAUACGUAGGGGGCAAGCGUUAUCCGGAUUUACUGGGUGUAAAGGGAGCGUAGACGGCAGCACAAGUCUGGAGUGAAAUGCCGGGGCUUAACCCCGGAACUGCUUUGGAAACUGUGCAGCUAGAGUGCAGGAGAAGUACGCGGAAUGCGCGGUGUAGCGGUGAAAUGCAUAGAUAUCGCGCAGAACUCCGAUUGCGAAGGCAGCGUACCGGCGCCAGACUGACGCUGAGGCACGAAAGCGUGGGGAUCGAACAGGAUUAGAUACCCGAGUAGUC
rnacentral:rRNA from 1 species